rnacentral:tRNA from 1 species
GGAGGUAUUGUUCAGUUGAUAGAGUGUGUGCUUAGCAUGCACAAGGUCCUGGGUUCAAUCCCCACUACCUACA